AUGAACGCUGGCGGCGUGCUUAACACAUGCAAGUCGAACGAUGAAGCCCAGCUUGCUGGGUGGAUUAGUGGCGAACGGGUGAGUAACACGUGAGUAACCUGCCCUUAACUCUGGGAUAAGCCUGGGAAACUGGGUCUAAUACCGGAUAGGAGCGUCCACCGCAUGGUGGGUGUUGGAAAGAUUUAUCGGUUUUGGAUGGACUCGCGGCCUAUCAGCUUGUUGGUGAGGUAAUGGCUCACCAAGGCGACGACGGGUAGCCGGCCUGAGAGGGUGACCGGCCACGCUGGGACUGAGACACGGCCCAGACUCCUACGGGAGGCAGCAGUGGGGAAUAUUGCACAAUGGGCGCAAGCCUGAUGCAGCGACGCCGCGUGAGGGAUGACGGCCUUCGGGUUGUAAACCUAUUUCAGUAGGGAAGAAGCGAAAGUGACGGUACCUGCAGAAGAAGCACCGGCUAACUACGUG
rnacentral:rRNA from 1 species